rnacentral:rRNA from 1 species
UACAGAGGGGGCAAGCGUUGUUCGGAAUUACUGGGCGUAAAGGGCGCGUAGGCGGCCUGCUAAGUCGAACGUGAAAUCCCCGAGCUCAACUCGGGAACUGCGUCCGAUACUGGCAGGCUUGAAUCCGGGAGAGGGAUGCGGAAUUCCAGGUGUAGCGGUGAAAUGCGUAGAUAUCUGGAGGAACACCGGUGGCGAAGGCGGCAUCCUGGACCGGCAUUGACGCUGAGACGCGAAAGCGUGGGGAGCAAACAGG